rnacentral:lncRNA from 1 species
GGGUCUGGAUUGGGACCACUUUCCGAUAACAAUUUUAUUUUUAUGACUGCAUAAUAAUUCUAUUAUAUAAAUAAAUGUACCAUAAUUUACUUAACCAUUUCCCUAUUGAUUUAGGUGGUUUCUGAUCUUUUGCAGUUACAAACAGUGCUACAGUGAAUAGCAUUAUACACAAGUCAUUUUACAUAUGUUCAAGCCUAUUUGUAGAUCAAUUCCUAAAAGUGAAAGUUAAGGUCAGUUGGAGGGCAUUUAAGGGAGAUAUUGCUAAAUUGCCUUUCUUAAAGGUUUUAUCAAUUAUACUUUCUCCAGCCGUGUAGAAGAAUGCAUGUUUUCCCACCCCUUUACCUAUUCUAUGUGUUUGUCAUAAAACAUUUUUUAAUCUUUUCAAAUCUGAUGUUUUAAAAAUGGUAUCAUAUAUUUGCAUUUCUCUUAAUGUAAAUGAGAUUGCACAUCUUUUCACAUGCCUAAUAGCCAGUUGUAUUUUCUUUUCUAUAUUUUUGUAUUUCUAUAUUUUCUUUGCCCUUUUGAUGGUCUUUUUCUUACUGAUUUGUAGGAGCUCUUUUCAACAGGAAUGUCAAAUAUUUCUUGCAUUUUGAGUUUCGCUUUAUAAUAGCUUUUACUAUAAAUAAAAAGGUUAUUUUUAUUUUUA